GAGGGGAGAGACCAGACCAGUCAAAGUACCAAGAGGACCAGAGAAGAGCUGGAGGGCGACUGGGACUUAGAGGUACAGAAGGAGAGGAAGGUCAGAGUGAGUCCAGCCUCCACUGAACAGGAAUGACUGAGGUCAGGAACUUCACACACAUUUACAAUCACGCACAGACAUACACACACAUUUACAAUCACACACAGACAUACACACAC